rnacentral:lncRNA from 1 species
AUAUAUUUUAAAAGAAGAAUUUGUUUAGAUCUUAAAAUAUUCAUAUGUUUCUUGUUAUUUUUAUGACACACCCAAAUAUGUAGUUCAAAGUUUGUAUGUUAGAAAUAUAACUUAAUAUACUGUUGUUCUAAUUUCAAACAAGAGAAUUGUAGACCUAUGAGGGCCACAACGCCAUGUUGGCCCUCAUAGGUCUACAAUUGAUACAUUUCAACUUCUUCGGACCAUAUUUGCAUAACACAUCGUACUACCUUGUACUCCCCUAACCCUACUUAGAAUCCUGGACUUGAGCUCCCAAAUUCUACUCACUAAACCCUUUAUUUUAUUUUAUUUUAACAAAAACACUACUAGGGCAGUACUCUGCAAUAGGUAUCCAUACUGAAUACUCUACUGGCUCCCUUCCGUUGCUGGCGGUAAGCUCCAUCCCCACCUCCAUCGCCUUCAGCAAUCAACGUGCAUUUAGCAAGCUGGAAAGAUGUUCUGUAU